UACGUAGGGGGCAAGCGUUGUCCGGAUUCAUUGGGCGUAAAGAGCGUGUAGGCGGCCAUACAGGUCCGUUGUGAAAACUGGAGGCUUAACCUCCAGACGUCGAUGGAAACCGUAUGGCUAGAGUCCGGAAGAGGAGAGUGGAAUUCCUGGUGUAGCGGUGAAAUGCGCAGAUAUCAGGAAGAAUACCCGUGGCGAAGGCGGCUCUCUGGGACGGUACUGACGCUGAGACGCGAAAGCGUGGGGAGCGAACAGG
rnacentral:rRNA from 1 species